AUUGAACGCUGGCGGCAUGCCUAACACAUGCAAGUCGAGCGGAUCAAGGGUUUUGGCUCCCGGCGCAUGCGGCGGGCGGGUGUGCAAUAUCUUGGAGUGUGCGAGCGAGGGGGAUAAAACGGCGGAAAACGGGCUCUAAUACCGCACGCUCUCCGGGGGAGAGAGGGGGGGAGCAUGGGAUCUCACGCUCGGAGAGGAGGCUAGGUCAGAUUAGCUAGUUGGUGGGGUAAGGGCUUACCGAGGCGACGAUCUGUAGCUGGUCUGAGAGGAUGAUCAGCCACACUGGAACUGAGACACGGCCCAGACUCCUACGGGAGGCAGCAGUGGGGAAUUUUGGACAAUGGGCGCAAGCCUGAUCCAGCCAUGCCGCGUGUGUGAUGAAGGUCUUCGGAUUGUAAAGUACUUUAGUUCGGAACGAACAGCUUUCCUUUAAUACGUUGCUGUCAUGACGUUACCGAAAGAAUAAGCACCGGCUAACUACGUG
rnacentral:rRNA from 1 species